GAUGAACGCUGGCGGCGUGCCUAAUACAUGCAAGUCGAGCGAACGUACGAGAAGCUUGCUUCUCUGAUGUUAGCGGCGGACGGGUGAGUAACACGUGGAUAACCUACCUAUAAGACUGGGAUAACUUCGUGAAACCGGAGCUAAUACCGGAUGAUAUUUUGAACCGCAUGGUUCAAAAGUGAAAGACGGUCUUGCUGUCACUUAUAGAUGGAUCCGCGCUGCAUUAGCUAGUUGGUAAGGUAACGGCUUACCAAGGCAACGAUGCAUAGCCGACCUGAGAGGGUGAUCGGCCACACUGGAACUGAGACACGGUCCAGACUCCUACGGGAGGCAGCAGUAGGGAAUCUUCCGCAAUGGGCGAAAGCCUGACGGAGCAACGCCGCGUGAGUGAUGAAGGUCUUCGGAUCGUAAAACUCUGUUAUUAGGGAAGAACAUAUGUGUAAGUAACUGUGCACAUCUUGACGGUACCUAAUCAGAAAGCCACGGCUAACUACGUG
rnacentral:rRNA from 1 species